rnacentral:rRNA from 1 species
CAGCAGCCGCGGGAAUACGUAGGUGGCAAGCGUUGUCCGGAAUUAUUGGGCGUAAAGGGCUCGCAGGCGGUUUCUUAAGUCUGAUGUGAAAGCCCCCGGCUCAACCGGGGAGGGUCAUUGGAAACUGGGAAACUUGAGUGCAGAAGAGGAGAGUGGAAUUCCACGUGUAGCGGUGAAAUGCGUAGAGAUGUGGAGGAACACCAGUGGCGAAGGCGACUCUCUGGUCUGUAACUGGCGCUGAGGAGCGAAAGCGUGGGGAGCGAACAGGAUUAGAUACCCCUGUAGUCCCUGUCUCUUAUAC